rnacentral:rRNA from 1 species
GACGAACGCUGGCGGCGUGCCUAAUACAUGCAAGUCGAACGCACUCUCGUUUAGAUUGAAGGAGCUUGCUCCUGAUUGAUAAGCAUUUGAGUGAGUGGCGGACGGGUGAGUAACACGUGGGUAACCUGCCCUAAAGUGGGGGAUAACAUUUGGAAACAGAUGCUAAUACCGCAUAAAAACCUAGCACCGCAUGGUGCAGGGUUGAAAGAUGGUUUCGGCUAUCACUUUAGGAUGGACCCGCGGUGCAUUAGUUAGUUGGUGAGGUAAAGGCUCACCAAGACCGUGAUGCAUAGCCGACCUGAGAGGGUAAUCGGGCCACACUGGGACUGAGACACGGCCCAGACUCCUACGGGAGGCAGCAGUAGGGAAUCUUCCACAAUGGACGAAAGUCUGAUGGAGCAACGCCGCGUGAGUGAAGAAGGUUUUCGGAUCGUAAAACUCUGUUGUUGGAGAAGAAUGUAUCUGAUAGUAACUGAUCA